AUUUAAUGUUAAUAUUGUCAUCUGCCGACAAGUUGAAAGAUAUGGAAGAUAAGUGUAACUCCGGGGAAUCGCACGGUGCAAAAACCAAAGAACCGGACUUUCUUUUAACAAGCAACACUUACAAAUCUAUUAAAGAAGACAGUUAUUAAACAAGGAAGAAAAAGAAGCUAUAGGCGAAGCGUAUAUACGCACCGAAAGAAUAAAAAAAUGAUGAUGCUGUGACAGAUGAAUAUCUAGAAAGUAGAGCGUCUUUUGUAGGAUCAAGUCUUUCUGUAACAAUUAGAGUAUCUAAGCCUCCAAAAAUUAUCGGUAUUUUUCCUUCGAAUUUAUUUCCAUUUUAAACUAUUCAUUAACUUUUGUAAAUCAAAUAUACCUACGUUACAUAUUAGAUGUUGCCGACGGUUUGACAAACUUGGUUCUUCAAAAACGACUAGUCUACCCUAUGCAGGAUUUACAUGUCAAUCUAUAAUCCUUCUGGAAACACCGUCCGAUUUACGAAGAGAUACGACAAGACUUGCCACAGCCAAAGGUGCAUCAAUCGCUUGUGUAGAUGCCUCUCACAAGAGAAAGACUGGUCAUUUUGGUCAAUCAAGGACCAAUGGGCCAGAUUUUCUUUCACCAAACACU